UCUUGGUGUAAUUUAGGUAUUCAGAAAUGUAUGUGUAUCAUGAUUUGGUAGUUACGCGUAUUACAUAAUUCUUGCUAACCAGCUAAUUUGGAAUUGAGGUCUAGUUGUGGAAGCUUUAUCUGAUGAUAUAUCUGUUAAGAGUGUCCCACAUUAGUUGAGGGAAUAGAUUGUUGUCUCCUUAUAGUGUUGGAGAAUUCUUGUCACAUGAGCUAGCUUUUGUUGUUGAUUUAGGCCCAAUUCUUGUCUCCAUUUCUUAAUAUGGAGUUAGAGCUGCAUCAGUAUUUUCUUAGUUUACUGAAUACUAGGCCCAAUGUUAAAUUGUUCACGCUCUGGAUGUCUGCUCUGGGUUUUCACUUUUCAGAGGAGACUUAACAUCUCACAUUGUUUGAAAGAAUGACCCCUUGUCUUUUAUAUAUUUUUUGCUCAAUCCUCACCUCUUAAGCUAGCUUUUGGGGUCGAGUGCCCAAGGCCAAUUCACUUGAUAAUAUCAUGUAGGUCUAAUUGAAGUUUCCAAUGUUGCAUGUCAUGUGCUUGAACUUCGCCACAUUCAAAAUCACUGUAUCUAAGUGGACGAGAGUAGAGGCGCGUACAAAUUAUUGCCUAGUUAUGAGCUGGUUCCCGUGCACCACUGGCCCUCGGAAUUUCUCGGCAAUUAAAACAAAAUUGUCCUGAUCAAAGAGUAGUUUCAUUGGUUAUAUGAGUUUUUUGCUGUUCUUUGACAAAGAUACUGACCAGCAUGCAUGUCGGAUACUCCAAAAUAGUGCAUAUUUGAUGAAUCCGACACGGGUGCAACGACAUUUUUGGA